rnacentral:rRNA from 1 species
CAAUAGCGUAUAUUUAAGUUGUUGCAGUUAAAAAGCUCGUAGUUGGAUUUCGGGUGGGACGCAGCGGUCUCGCAUUGCGUUUGUACUGCUGCAGCCCUCCUUCUUGCCGGGGGCGGCCUCUCGGGCUUCACUGUCUGGGGGUCAGAAUCGGCGAUGUUACUUUGAGUAAAUUAGAGUGUUCAAAGCAAGCUUACGCUCUGAAUAUAAUAGCAUGGGAUAACACGACAGGACUCUGGCCUAUCGUGUUGGUCUAUAGGACCAGAGUAAUGAUUAAGAGGGACAGUCGGGGGCAUUCGUAUUCCGUUGUCAGAGGUGAAAUUCUUGGAUUUACGGAAGACGAACAUCUGCGAAAGCAUUUGCCAAGGAUGUUUUCAUUGA